GUAUAUUUAGUUUUUCUCUUUCUUUUUCCGAGCUCCAGACUCCUAAUCUGGUUGUCGCGGGUUCGAGCCCUGCAUUGGGCU
rnacentral:tRNA from 1 species